rnacentral:rRNA from 1 species
CAGCCGCCGCGGGAAUACAGAGGGUGCGAGCGUUAAUCGGAUUUACUGGGCGUAAAGCGUGCGUAGGCGGCUUCUUAAGUUGGAUGUGAAAUCCCUGAGCUUAACUUAGGAAUUGCAUUCGAUACUGGGAAGCUAGAGUAUGGGAGAGGAUGGUAGAAUUCCAGGUGUAGCGGUGAAAUGCGUAGAGAUCUGGAGGAAUACCGAUGGCGAAGGCAGCCAUCUGGCCUAAUACUGACGCUGAGGUACGAAAGCAUGGGGAGCAAACAGGAUUAGAGACCCCUGUAGUCCCUGUCUCUUAUAC